UGCGCAGGCGGUUCAGCAAGCUGGUGUUAAAUACCCCGGCCCAACCGGGGGGCUGCGCUGAGAACUGCUGGGCUUGAGUUCAGGAGGGGAAGCUGGAAUUCCUGGUGUAGGGGUGAGAUCUGUAGAGAUCAGGAAGAACACCGGUGGCGAAGGCGAGCUUCUGGCCAUGGACUGACGCUGAGGCACGAAAGCGUGGGGAGCGAACA
rnacentral:rRNA from 1 species